rnacentral:tRNA from 1 species
GGUGGCUCAGUGAUAGAGCACUUGCCUUGCAUGCAUGAGGCCUUAGGUUCAAUUCCUCAGCACCA